AUUGAACGCUGGCGGCAUGCCUUACACAUGCAAGUCGAACGGCAGCACGGGUGCUUGCACCUGGUGGCGAGUGGCGAACGGGUGAGUAAUACAUCGGAACAUGUCCUGUCGUGGGGGAUAGCCCGGCGAAAGCCGGAUUAAUACCGCAUACGAUCUACGGAUGAAAGCGGGGGCCCUUCGGGUCUCGCGCUAUCGGGUUGGCCGAUGGCUGAUUAGCUAGUUGGUGGGGUAAAGGCCUACCAAGGCGACGAUCAGUAGCUGGUCUGAGAGGACGACCAGCCACACUGGGACUGAGACACGGCCCAGACUCCUACGGGAGGCAGCAGUGGGGAAUUUUGGACAAUGGGCGAAAGCCUGAUCCAGCAAUGCCGCGUGUGUGAAGAAGGCCUUCGGGUUGUAAAGCACUUUUGUCCGGAAAGAAAUCCUUGGCUCUAAUACAGUCGGGGGAUGACGGUACCGGAAGAAUAAGCACCGGCUAACUACGUG
rnacentral:rRNA from 1 species